rnacentral:lncRNA from 1 species
CAUCAAUCGACCUUUAAUGUCCAAAAGAGGCGUGGAUGCAGAGCAUAGAUGUGGCAGGGUCUCAGUCACUGCACCAGAAAUGAGAGAUGAACAAAAACGAGACACUUCCAACUGGCCAGAGUCUGGGAGGGCAGGGAAACACAGAUCUGGACAUUCAUAAGAAAAAUAAAACCUAAAAUCAAACAUUCACUCCUGCCUCCCAGAGGUCAUUGCUAUACUUCAGACCUGUUCCAGGAGCCCUCCACCCCACUUCCAUUCUCCACCUCCUGCCUCCCAGAGGUCAUUGCUAUACUUCAGACCUGUUCCAAGGAGCCCUCCACCCCAUCACUUCCAUUCUCACUUCCCACUAGAGACCAGUCACCUGGUCCCAGAUCCAACUCCAGGAAAGAUGUUAGUAUGGCCAUCCUGUUCUGGGUGACCUUCCAAAACCUUUCCCAGGGAACAGACAGCCACAAGGCAAAGCAGUGUCCAAGCAAGAUGAACUAAGGGGAGGGGGAUGGUUUGAUACCAACCUGUUCUCACCCUCACAACAGGGAACAUAAAAGCCCACUUAGAACUAACUGCCCUCUACUUCCCAUACACCCUAGAGAUUCCACUUAUCCUGCCCCUUCCCACCCUUCUACCCCAAACCCACCCCCACACACGCACACAGACAAACACAAACGUACACAAAGAAGAACUGACGGGCAUUGAUUUGGUUUGAUUGCUAAGACCUAACUAAGGAACUACAGUCACCAGAAAUUCCCUUGCCAGCCAACAAUAGGGGCUGCUCUAAGAGAACGAAGGAAUGAGAAAAAACGAGGGCUAAGCAGGGAGCAGACAGAAUGUAAAGGGGAAGUCAGGCUAACCCUACUCCCAGCAUCCUCCCAACACGACUUCUGGCUGGAAGAAUAUGGGAAGAUGACCCACAAAGACACAGCCCUUACUUAAAAUCCUGACAGACGGCAAGACGAGUCUGCUCCCCAUUCCCACACCACAAACACACCUUAGGGCCCCUUAGAGACUGCACACCCACCCCUGCCCCAAGCCAUAGUCACAGUUCUGUGGAAUAUUCUCCCCGGUACUAGAGCCACCACCCCCCCCCCCACCUUCCUGCCCCUCUCCUUGCCAAUCCUAACCCUGUCCUCACAGCCUCCCCGGCCUCCUACAGCAGCACCCACCACCCAAGAGGCACCUGCAGCUUAACUUCCACCUCAGACCUAUUUCUAUUCCUCGGCCCUCCUAGUCCUUAGGGCUUCGAGGAGGGCCUUUUAUUUUUAUCUAGGGAGAGAAGAGAAAAGGAGGGGUAGGAGAGAUUUCCUAGUGCAGUACAACCAAAAAAAUAAUGUUAACGUCUUAAAAACAAACGCAAAGCAGCCUUCUUCCCCAGGCAACUAAACAGAAAGGAGUUUGGUUUUUGUUUACUGCGACACACACAUGAAAUCGAGUACACAGUCCAUGCAGUAGCACAGCCAUUGGAGAGGACUUCCUGAUGCUGGCCCCAGUGCAACAGUCCCAGCAACGCCGCCUGCUUGCCAUCGCUGCCGCCGCCACGGACACCUUCGCCUCGGCCACCUAGCCCGACUUGAAGAGGAGGAUUGCAACUUGACCCAAGUAAAAAUAGAUGAAGUGCUUUGUCUCGUGUGUGACAUAGCUGCCAAAAUUCCGGCCCACGAUACAAUGCCAGGUAGGGUUAUAUUUCUUGUCAAAUUCCUAAAAAAGAAUAAAAGGGAGAAAGAAAAAAAAGUAGUUAGGGUU